GACGAACGCUGGCGGCGUGCCUAACACAUGCAAGUCGAGCGGGGAUAUAUGCUGGAGCGCUUCGGUGUGAAGGGAUAUAUCCUAGCGGCGGACGGGUGAGUAACGCGUGGGGAACCUGCCCUUAAGUUCGGGAUACCAACUCGAAAGGGUUGUUAAUACCGGAUGUGCUGCAUUAGCCGCAUGGCGGAUGUAGUAAAGGGGAGACCCGCUUAAGGAUGGCCCUGCGUUCCAUUAGCUAGUUGGUGGGGUAACGGCCUACCAAGGCGACGAUGGAUAGCCGGCCUGAGAGGGCGACCGGCCACACUGGGACUGAGACACGGCCCAGACUCCUACGGGGGGCAGCAGUGGGGAAUCUUGCACAAUGGGCGGAAGCCUGAUGCAGCGACGCCGCGUGAGGGACGAAGGUCUUCGGAUCGUAAACCUCUGUCCAAAGGGACGAAGGAGUGACGGUACCUUUGGAGGAAGCCCCGGCCAACUACGUG
rnacentral:rRNA from 2 species